CCCUCCUUCCCGUUUAGCUGCGUAGAGGGGCGGCGUUCCAUCAUGGCGUCGUCCAUGUGAGGCGAGAAGCGCGUCAGGUUCCGCAGGAUAAAAAAAUGCUGGAACUCCAAAGAUAAAAUAAAAAUGCCUGCUGUCUGUGAUUCCCUCCUUGGAGACAUUGAAGAUAUUAUCUCAGAGCAAGACCCAAAGCCGCAAGACCUGCAGUUCAGGAGAAAAAAUGUUAUUCCUAAAGUGCGAAAACGCCAUUCACAAAAAAAUGUAGAAACAGAUUGUGAUGAUCCCCCAAGUGACAGUGUUAUUCCUGGUGUACAAAAAAUUUGGAUACGCACAUGGGGAUGUUCUCAUAAUAGUUCAGAUGGAGAAUACAUGGCUGGACAACUGGCUGCAUAUGGAUACAGAAUUACAGACAAUGCUGCAGAAGCUGAUCUGUGGCUCCUGAACAGCUGUACUGUUAAAAGCCCUGCUGAAGACCACUUUAGAAACUCAAUUAAGAAAGCACAAGAAGAAAAAAAGAAAGUUGUUCUAGCUGGAUGUGUUCCACAAGCCCAGCCUCGACAAGACUACCUACAAGGCCUGAGUAUCAUUGGGGUUCAGCAGAUAGAUCGUGUCGUAGAAGUUGUUGAGGAGACGAUCAAAGGUCACUCUGUGAGAUUGCUGGGUCAGAAAAAGGAUAAUGGAAAACGGUUGGGGGGAGCGCGAUUGGAUUUGCCAAAGAUUAGAAAGAACCCACUGAUAGAAAUAAUUUCCAUCAAUACAGGGUGUUUGAAUGCAUGUACCUACUGCAAAACUAAGCAUGCCAGAGGAGAUCUCGCAAGUUAUCCUAUUGAAGAACUGGUAAACAGAGCCAAACAAUCCUUUCAAGAAGGGGUAUGCGAGAUAUGGCUGACCAGUGAAGACACAGGGGCUUACGGAAGAGACAUUGGCACAGACCUCCCUACUCUCCUAUGGAAGCUGGUUGAAGUAAUCCCUGAAGGAGCAAUGCUAAGACUUGGCAUGACGAACCCUCCCUAUAUUUUAGAGCAUCUGGAGGAAAUGGCAAAAAUUCUCAACCAUCCAAGAGUCUAUGCAUUUCUUCAUGUACCAGUUCAAAGUGCCUCUGAUAGCGUACUCAUGGACAUGAAGAGGGAAUACUGUGUGGCGGACUUCAAAAGGGUAGUGGAUUUCCUUAAAGAAAAAGUGCCUGGAAUAACAAUUGCCACAGACAUCAUUUGUGGGUUUCCAGGGGAAACAGAUGAAGAUUUUCAAGAAACCAUGAAGCUUGUAGAAGAGUACAAGUUUCCAAGUCUUUUUAUUAACCAGUUUUACCCACGCCCUGGGACUCCUGCUGCAAAAAUGCAUCAAGUUCCAGCCCAAGUAAAAAAACAGAGAACGAAAGAACUGUCAAGAUUGUUUCACUCGUACAACCCAUAUGAUCACAAGAUUGGGGAGAAACAAAAUGUUCUUGUGACAGAAGAAUCAUUUGAUUCCAAGUUUUAUGUUGCUCAUAAUCGAUUCUACGAGCAGGUACUUGUGCCAAAGAACCCUGAGUUCAUGGGUAAAAUGGUAGAAGUGAACAUUUUUGAAGCAGGGAAGCACUUUAUGAGGGGGAGCCCAGUGUCGGAUGCCAGAGUGUUCACCCCGUCUAUCACUAGGCCAUUAGCCAAAGGAGAGGUGUCUGGUUUAACAGAGGUUGCAGGUGCAUCAGAAAGCGGGAAAUGAGUGAGACCGAAUAAGAGUGCGCAAAUACAUAUUAUUACUGGCACACAUCAGAUCUAAUGACUGAUAUAAAAACAAUCAAAAUAGUUUUGAUGCUACGGAUAUGUACUGCCAUUGGACAUCUAAUUUUUAAGGGAGGUAGAUUGCAGGCUCAUUAAUAUGCCUUGGGCAUUUAUUACUAACAACAGUUGAAAAUUCAUGAUAAUUGAUUAUUGACGCAAAAAAAAUAUAAUGGUAUCUUAUUCUUUAUAUUGCUGUUUCUUCCUAUAUUGUUGCAUAUUUGAUUAUUUUUGCAUGUUCCUACAUUUUAUCUAGCCCAUUUGUGUUUGUAAAUUUUUGUUUCCAGUAUUCUACAAAAACCAUUCUUACUAUUAUUAUCAUAUAGCAAUUUGAAUCCAACGUUCAGUACAUCCCUAUAUCUUUUCCAUUAUAAUUUUUAUCUUUUUCCAUACAGUGCUUCUUUGAUUCUGGUGGUCCAAGAACAAGUCUAUCACAAAUGAUAAAUAUCACCUUUCACAGUUAGGAAUUCGAGGACAUUUUUGUCUUGCUUAUCAGGAAAGCAGCAAUAAACUCCGAUAAGCAACUUGUAGUAAUUUUCCUCAAGCGUCCAUAUUUAGGAGAAAGGUUUGGCAGUUAUUGAAAAAUGUUCCCAUAUUUGCAUAGAUAUCUUCUCUUUGAUGCCCAGAGUACAGUUCACUGUAUUUCUUAUACCUUUUUCAAAUUUAUAUUUUUAUUUCUGCAAGAUUUUAUAGAUUCUUCACAAGCUUUGUUUAUUAUUCCUUCUCCCAUCUUAUUAAAACUCUUAAUUGGAUAUUUGAUCUCAAAAAAUAAUUUAGAUGGAUCUAAUUUGGAAAAAAACUCAAACUAAGCAGAGAACCUUUUACCCAAAGUUGAUUUUUAAAGAAAACUUAAAUUGUAUUGUCAUCAUUUCAUCUGAAUACACAAUUACCCCUUCAUGUCCCGUGUUUUCCCACAUAAAUUCUAAUUAAUCAUCAACUACAGAAGCUAGUGGGGAUUUGGGGCAGGACUUGUUCUUACUUAGUAUUUAUCCCAGAUCUAUAGAAGAUUAAAGUACCUUUUUCUUUGUACCCCUGGAGCAUAAACUACUGUUGACCAAUAAUAAUGCUUGUGGAUAAUGUCUUAAUAAAGCUUUUUCAAACAGACAUAUCAAUAAAUUUGGAUUUUUAAUCCAAUCAAUGAUGCCUCGGACAUUUUCCCAGCAAGUAAACCAUAUCAUAAAAACCUCUGUCAAGAGAGUCUUGGAUGUUGUUAGCUUACCAAAUUAAAGACUAAAAUGGAGCAUUCUUCACACUGGAACUCUUGGCCUUGGCUGAAACUCAGAAAGAAAGAUUGGCCCUGCAGCAAACCAUAUUCACUCAUUAGGCUUUCUUUGGUCAUGCAGAUACUCCUAUUCUAGUUAAGGUAACAUUGAUCAAAUUAGGCAUUUGUCUAAGCACAAUUUAUAAAUGUAAAAAUUUAUCACUUAGAAAGUAAAACAUAUUCACUGAAUAUAGGGUAUACUGUAAAUUGAUAAUGGGAUAAAGAAAACUAAUAGGCAUCCAAGGAAAUAAUUAGAUUCCUCUGUGCAAGCUUUUCUUCCAAGUUUAAUCAGUCUACAAAAUGAAGUCUAUUAUGAGGUAGCUUUUGUUGCAAAUUAGUGAAAUGUUUAAUAAUUGGUACUCUGUGGUUUCCAGUUUAUUUCUCCAUAUAAAGGUUAAUUAGCUUUGACUCCAGGAAUGAAUAGCUGUAGCCAGUUAUUAAUUUUUCAGAUUCAUUAGGCAAUUGAUUUUAAUUACUCUGUCUGUCGCUACAUGGAAAUAGCCAUCUAUUUAUGUAAUAUUUUAUGAUGGAAGUCUAGUACUACCUUCCGAAUGGUGAAUACAGUUUAGUAUUCUUUUAUUCCCAUGGCUUUAACACCUUUCUGCAUAAUAACCUCACGUUCCACAAGUUUCUAACACCUGUAGUUCAUUCAUGCACCAUAAGUCAUUGCUACCUUAAAUGUUUAAAAAGGAAUCUGUGGGUGGGGGUGCUGGAAGGUUGGCACCUAGGGAUGGAGAGGGGUCCUCUCCUUAUGAGCCUAGAUGUCAGAGAGGGAGAAGCAGAGCUGCUGGCAGGCCCUUCUGGUGGAGCACAGAGCCUCAUCGGGGAGAGAGGAGGACUACAACCAGCCAGGAGGGUCUGAAGGAGGAAGAGGUGGUGGCAGAGCUGGAAGCAAAGAGGCAGGUCACUGUUUUAUCAUCAAGAACCAGGCGCUGCCUUCAUAAGUGGAAUCAGACAGUGCGCACAUAGCUGACACAUAGGGCAAGUUGCCUCAUCUUUAAAAGCUUGGUGGGAGGGCUGUGUCAACCAUUGGGACAUCUUCCAUUUGCUUAUGGACCUCUUACCUUGCUCAUGUACCUUGUAAUCUUGACUACUGAGCCUUGUGCCUGCUGCCAAGGCUAUACCGCUAUUAGCCCGAAUAAAGAUAGCAACACGUACUGGUAAAUAAGGAUAUCAGUGUAUUUUGGGAUGGGUGCCUGACAGCUAAAGUAACCAAGGUACUGAGAGUCCCUGUGGGAUCAAAGGCUAGCUCUGAACUGAAGAUCCAAGAGGAAUCUCUUGGAAAGGUCUAGAUGAGAUAUUGGAAGUGGGUUUAUGCACUUGUAGCAUAAGAUGAUCAUUCCAAGGACAAAGUUGAUCACAGGCCAGGAAUCCAUCUGAAGGAGGAUUGCUAAAUAAUGUAGGGCAGUGAUGGGGAGGAAAAUUAUAUAGGCAAGGUAGGAAAACAAGAGGACCAGCAGGCACCAAUGUACACAGAGAGGGGAGGCAGAUGGGCAAGGAGACAAAGACAGAGACCUGACUGAUAAGUAUUUAUAGUCACACCACGUCAAUAAGAACCAAAGGACUGCAGGAGUAAGUCAGAUUGGGCAGUGAUGGAUUUAGUGCUAAUACACCAAUAGAAGAACAACAGGAGUAUAUACCUGAUGUUUCCAUCAGGUUUGUAUCCCUAACAGCAAAAGCGGUUGUAAGCACACCUGGAUAUUCCUCCCAAAUGAUAGCUAUUAUAGAAAACAAUAGUGCAUAUUUCAGGUGCUGGGGAGCUAUACUUGGCCAUAAUCUCCCAGAGUGUGUGCAGUGAAAUAGAUGCACAUGCCAAUCACACAUGCUUUUUUUCUCCUGUGUGGAAAAGUAGCUCCGAGUAUGAUCAAUAAGAUGGAUGUUUUA